CAAGUCCUCCCACCCCCCACCCCACAUCUAUCCCCGCCCCGCCCGUCCCGGAUCCACACCGCCGCCGCGAUGCCGUCGUUCAAGGCCCCGGCGCCGGGCUUCUCCGUCCGCUUCAGCCCGUUCCACGAGCAUCGCCUCCUUGCGGCCACCUCGCAGCACUUCGGUCUCAUCGGCAACGGCCACCUCCUGGUUCUCGACCUCUCCGCUGCCGGGCCCGGCGGGCCCGGCCUCACCCCGCUCUUCUCCUUCCCCACCUCCGACGCGCUCUUCGACUGCGCGUGGUCCGAGUCCCACGACUCCCUCUGCGCCGCCGCGUCGGGGGACGGCUCCGUGCGGCUCUUCGACGUCACGCUGCCGCCCGCGCAGAACCCCGUCCGCCUCCUCCGGGAGCACGCGCGGGAGGUCCACGGGAUCGACUGGAACCCCGUCCGCCGCGACGCCUUCCUCUCCGCCUCCUGGGACGACACCCUCAAGCUCUGGUCCCCCGACCGCCCCGCCUCCGUCCGCACCUUCCGCGGCCACGAGUACUGCGUCUACGCCGCCGCGUGGUCGGCCCGGCACCCGGACGUCUUCGCGUCGGCGUCCGGCGACCACACGGCCCGCGUCUGGGACGUGCGGGAGCCGGGGCCUACCCUCGUCAUCCCGGCUCACGACCACGAGGUGCUCUCCCUCGACUGGGACAAGUACGACCCGUCCAUCCUGGCCACCGGCUCCGUCGACAAGUCGAUCCGCAUCUGGGACGUCCGCUCGCCGCAGGCGCCCCUCGCCCAGCUCGCGGGGCACGGGUACGCCGUCAAGCGCGUCAAGUUCUCGCCGCACCGGCAGGGCAUGCUCAUGUCCUGCUCCUACGACAUGACGGUCUGCAUGUGGGAUUACCGGAAAGAGGACGCCCUGCUGCAAAGGUACGGCCACCACACCGAGUUCGUAGCCGGGAUCGACAUGAGCGUGCUCACCGACGGGCUGCUCGCCAGCACCGGCUGGGAUGAGAUGAUCUACGUUUGGCCAUUUGGGAGUGAUCCCAGAGCAAUGUAA
rnacentral:rRNA from 1 species